AUUGAACGCUGGCGGCAUGCCUUACACAUGCAAGUCGAACGGCAGCACGGGUGCUUGCACCUGGUGGCGAGUGGCGAACGGGUGAGUAAUACAUCGGAACAUGUCCUGUAGUGGGGGAUAGCCCGGCGAAAGCCGGAUUAAUACCGCAUACGAUCUACGGAUGAAAGCGGGGGACCUUCGGGCCUCGCGCUAUAGGGUUGGCCGAUAGCUGAUUAGCUAGUUGGUGGGGUAAAGGCCUACCAAGGCGACGAUCAGUAGCUGGUCUGAGAGGACGACCAGCCACACUGGGACUGAGACACGGCCCAGACUCCUACGGGAGGCAGCAGUGGGGAAUUUUGGACAAUGGGCGGAAGCCUGAACCAGCAAUGCCGCGUGUGUGAAGAAGGCCUUCGGGUUGUAAAGCACUUUUGUCCGGAAAGAAAUCCUUGGCUCUAAUACAGUCGGGGGAUGACGGUACCGGAAGAAUAAGCACCGGCUAACUACGUG
rnacentral:rRNA from 1 species